rnacentral:tRNA from 1 species
ACCUGGUGGGCUCAGUCGGUAGAGCGUGGGGCUUUUGAUCUCAGAGUUGUGAGUUUGAGCCCCAUGUUGGGUG